CCCAGUUUCAGUGGGAAGUACAAACUUUUUAUAACUUACAAAGAAAAGAUCCUAAACACGAUUAAAGGAGGACGUCGUCACGUUAGGGUUUGUGAAGAACCCGUUUCGAAGAGCUUUGUCAAGGACCUCUCCUCUGUUCUGUGACAUAACGUGCAGGAUUUGAGGUCCAAUCUACGCUCAAAAAGUUGUAGUUGCAACGCUCAAUGUUUUAGGGAAAUUGAAGUGAAUUCUGUUACUUCCAUUAUACACAAGCAACAAAAAUAUAUUUGAAUUGGAAAGCUAUACUAAUUUCAAUUCUGCUAGGUUUCAGGGUAUCGUGUGUAUUAUCUCCUGUAAUACAAAUUACCUGUUUGUUGAAUUCUUAUUUACCCAGUAACACAAUAAGCAAUGGAGGACGUGAAACAUAAAUCUAGGAAAGAAGAUUCGGAGAAGAAGGAGGAAGAUCCAAAGAGGAGUCACCGUGAUAAAGAAAGAGAGCGUGAUAAGGAGAGAAAUGGAGAGAGGCACCGGGACAGAGAAAAGAGGGACCGUGAAAGCCGACGUUCUGAAAGAGAGAAGAGUACUGAUUCUGAUGACAAAUAUGAGAGAGAGAGGGACAAGGACAGAGACAAGCAUAGAGACAGGGACAAGGAUAGAAGGAGCCGGGACGAUGAAAGAGAAAGAACCAAGGAUAAGAGCAGGAAGAGAGACAGAGACAGUGAGAGGGAUGAGAAACGGGAGAGGGCAAGAGACAGAGACAAAGAGAGAGAGAGGGACAGGGAGAGGGAAAGGGAAAGAGAUAGAGAAAAAAGGGAGCGUGAAAGAGAAGAGCGUGAGAGGGAGAGAGAUAAAGAGAGGGAGAGGAGAGAGCGUGAGAGGGAGAGAAGAGAACGUGAGAGGGAAGAACAACGAGAGAGAGAGAGAGACAGGGAAAGGGAGAGAAGAGAUAGAGAAAGGGAAAAAGAAAGAGAAAGGGAGAGGAGGACAAGGGAAAAGGAGAAGCAUCGAGAAGUUAAUAGCGAUGAUAAUAGUGACGAUGAUAGCAGGGAGCAUGAUAAGAAGCGUCGUAGAAGAGAUGAUGACGACUACAAGGACAGACAAAUUGAACUGAGCAAUAGCAGAUCAAACAGGCACAGAGAUGACACUGAAGGGAGCCCAAGGAAAAAGAGCAGUGAGGAUGACUCAGAUAAGAAAGAGAAGAAAACACGAGAGGAGGAAUUAGAGGAUGAACAGAAGAGAUUGGAUGAGGAAGCGGAAAAGAGGAGAAGAAGAGUUCAGGAAUGGCAAGAGUUAAAGAGGAAAAAGGAAGAAUCUGAACGAGAAAAGCAUGGCGAAUCGGAAAAUAUUGAUGGACCUAAGGCAGGUAAAACUUGGACCCUUGAAGGAGAAUCCGAUGAUGAAGAAGCACCUCCCACAGGGAAAUCAGGGACGGACAUGGACAUGGACCUGGAUGAAAAUACAAAGCCUGAUAAAGAAAUUGGAGAUUCAAUGGUGGUAGAUUCUGAAAAUGUAGCAGCUGCUUCAGAGAAUGGGGGUGAUAGUGUUAUGGGGGAUGAGGAAAUUGAUCCAUUAGACGCUUUUAUGAAUUCCAUGGUGUUACCUGAAGUUGAGAAGCUAAACAAUGCAACUAUUACUCAAAGUUUUGACGGUAGUAAACUGGAGUCAAAGAAGAACGAGAAAAAAGAAAGAAUUAAUGGAGACCAGCUGAAGAAAAGCUCUACUAAAUCUCUGGGGAGAAUAAUUCCUGGUGAAGAUUCGGAUUCAGAAUUUGUGGACCUUGAAAAUGAUGAAGAUCCUUUAGAUGAAGAAGAUGAUGACGAGUUCAUGAAAAGGGUAAAGAAGACAAAAGCUGAGAAACUUUCUGUUGUUGAUCAUUCAAAGAUUGAUUACAAACCUUUCCGGAAAAAUUUCUAUAUUGAAGUGAAGGAGAUAUCGAGGAUGACUCCUGAAGAGGUGGCUGCUUACAGGAAACAGUUAGAAUUGAAAAUACAUGGAAAGGAUGUUCCAAAACCAGUUAAAACAUGGCACCAAACUGGACUUACAAGUAAAAUUUUGGACACUAUAAAGAAGCUCAACUAUGAUAAGCCAAUGCCAAUUCAAGCACAGGCACUGCCUAUAGUUAUGAGCGGCAGAGAUUGUAUAGGCAUUGCCAAGACUGGCUCUGGAAAAACUCUUGCGUUUGUACUGCCAAUGCUGAGGCAUAUCAAGGACCAGCCACCUGUGGAAGCUGGAGAUGGGCCGAUUGGGCUUAUAAUGGCACCUACUAGGGAGCUUGUUCAACAAAUCCACAGUGAUAUAAAAAAGUUUGCCAAGGUUUUGGGAAUUAGAUGUGUGCCUGUAUAUGGAGGUUCUGGUGUUGCUCAACAAAUCAGUGAAUUAAAGCGGGGUACUGAGAUUGUUGUCUGUACUCCAGGUAGGAUGAUUGACAUAUUAUGCACAAGUGGGGGCAAAAUUACAAAUCUGCGUAGAGUCACUUAUCUAGUUAUGGAUGAAGCUGAUCGGAUGUUUGAUAUGGGCUUUGAACCUCAAAUCACUCGAAUUGUCCAAAAUAUUCGCCCAGAUCGUCAAACUGUACUCUUUUCUGCUACUUUCCCUCGUCAGGUUGAGAUUUUGGCCCGUAAGGUAUUGAACAAACCUGUGGAAAUCCAGGUUGGUGGAAGGAGUGUGGUGAACAAGGACAUAACUCAGUUAGUUGAGGUAAGGCCAGAAAAUGAAAGAUUCUUGAGACUGUUAGAACUACUUGGUGAAUGGUAUGAGAAAGGAAAAAUUUUGAUAUUCGUCCAGUCACAGGACAAAUGUGAUGCUUUGUUUAGGGAUUUACUCAAGCAUGGUUAUCCUUGCCUUUCACUUCAUGGGGCUAAGGAUCAGACAGACCGUGAGUCUACCAUUUCUGAUUUCAAGAGCAAUGUCUGCAAUUUAUUGAUUGCCACAAGUAUUGCAGCCAGAGGUUUAGAUGUGAAAGAGCUUGAACUGGUGAUCAAUUUUGAUGUUCCAAAUCACUAUGAGGAUUAUGUGCACCGUGUUGGACGAACGGGCCGAGCUGGUCGCAAAGGCUGUGCCAUCACAUUUAUUUCUGAGGAGGAUGCAAGAUACGCACCAGAUCUUGCAAAAGCAUUGGAACUCUCUGAGCAAGUUGUUCCCGACGACCUUAAAGCUCUUGCUGAUGGGUUUAUGGCAAAAGUGAACCAGGGCCUUGAGCAAGCCCAUGGAACUGGUUAUGGUGGUAGUGGUUUUAAAUUCAAUGAAGAGGAGGAUGAAAAGAGGAUAGCAGCAAAGAAAGCACAAGCAAAAGAAUAUGGCUUUGAAGAAGACAAGUCAGAUUCAGAAGAUGAAGACGACGGAGUUCGAAAAGCUGGAGGCGACAUCUCACGGCAGGCUGCAUUUGCUCAACAAUUAUUUGCCAUUACUGCUGCCUCCAAAAGCAGUACAUUGGCAACUCCACCUCCCUUGCUCCCCCCUGGUGGACUUCCUGUUUCUCUGCCAAGUGUCAUGGGCCUAACUAUUCCAGGUGCAGCAACAGCUGUACCUGGUGCUGGACUACCUGUUGUUGGUAAUGAUAACACAGCUAAGGCACUUGCCGCUGCCAUCAACUUGCAGCAUAACCUGGCAAAGAUUCAAGCUGAUGCAAUGCCGGAGCAUUAUGAAGCAGAGCUGGAGAUUAAUGAUUUCCCCCAAAAUGCUCGGUGGAAGGUUACACACAAGGAAACAUUGGGCCCAAUUUCAGAAUGGACUGGCGCUGCCAUCACUACCAGGGGACAGUAUUUCCCUCCGGGCAGGAUUCCAGGGCCAGGCGAACGCAAGCUCUACUUGUUCAUUGAGGGCCCUAGUGAAACAUCUGUUAAGAAAGCUAAAACAGAACUAAAACGUGUUUUGGAAGACAUCACGAAUCAGGCAUUAUCACUUCCUGGUGGUGCUCAACCAGGGAGAUACUCAGUUAUAUAAGUGUAAGUUAUAUAGCUUUAUUAUAAAGUGCAUCAUUGUUUCUACAUUGGAUAUUAUCUGAAGCUCAUUUUAAUUGUUCCUCGUCUUCACACUUUGGGAUGCUUAUAGUUGUGUGAAAUGCCACCAUGUAGAUUCUGGUCUACUCUUUCCCCCUUAGUUUGUCCUUUGAGCAUUUUAUGAGAUAAAACUUACCUUAGAAUGAGCCUAAAAUGGAGUUUUGUGGACCUAUUGAUUUUAUUUUAUACUUUUUGUGUUUGUCACGGUGCAAUCUUCUGGCACAUACAACUGUAUGUAUGAUCCUCCUUAGAGCUUUUAAUAUUGGAGACCCCUUUAGGUGGGGGAGGGGGUGGCAUGUGGUUGUGCAUGAAAUUUCCAUUCUCUGUUCUCCAUACUCUUUAUAUGUUGUAGCUGCUCAAGUUGGCUGUAAGGAUGUUAAAUUUGUUUGUCAAUUUCCAUGUCUCUCUUCCCUUUUUAAUUUCUUUUUCUUUUUCCCUUUUUUGGUUUAUUCUUUUCCUAUGGAUCGAGGGAUGAUUUAAGCCUAUGCCCGCAUGUCCAAUAUAGUUUCUGCUCAUUGCCUUUGCUAUGGUGGCUGUUGAAGAGGCGGUGAUCUGGUCUGGCUGGAAAAAGUUCCAGAAGAUGCAUUUGCCUUUUCAACUCUCCCGGGCUUGCACCUCGGAUCGUUACUCAAUUAAGCAAGAUGAUAGCUGCAGAGUUACCAUUUGUCAGUUUCCAUCCUAUGGGAAUCCUUGUAAUUAUAUUGGGCAGGCUGAUCUCCAGAUGGAUCCUUUGUGUUUCUGCAGCAAUUGGCUCAUGUCCUGAAUGCAGUUGGUCUUACUUGGUAGAGGUUGCGUUAGAUUUUUUUUUUUUGGGAUUCAAUAUACUUUCUGUUAGUGUAUAAUUAUUAUCUGUGGACCAGAUUGAAUGAGGAAUAUAAAUGAUUUUUUUUAUCCAGCCAUAAAUGGCAUCCGAAUAAAUUUUCUAG